rnacentral:rRNA from 1 species
AUUGAACGCUGGCGGCAUGCCUUACACAUGCAAGUCGAACGGCAGCACGGACUUCGGUCUGGUGGCGAGUGGCGAACGGGUGAGUAAUGUAUCGGAACGUACCUUUCAGUGGGGGAUAACGUAGCGAAAGUUACGCUAAUACCGCAUAUUCUGUGAGCAGGAAAGCAGGGGAUCGCAAGAACUUGCGCUGAUUGAGCGGCCGAUAUCAGAUUAGCUAGUUGGUGAGGUAAAGGCUCACCAAGGCGACGAUCUGUAGCGGGUCUGAGAGGAUGAUCCGCCACACUGGAACUGAGACACGGUCCAGACUCCUACGGGAGGCAGCAGUGGGGAAUUUUGGACAAUGGGGGCAGCCCUGAUCCAGCCAUGCCGCGUGAGUGAAGAAGGCCUUCGGGUUGUAAAGCUCUUUCGGCCGGGAAGAAAUCGCAUAGGUUAAUACCCUGUGUGGAUGACGGUACCGGAAUAAGAAGCACCGGCUAACUACGUGCCAGCCGCCGCAGUAAUAC